CUGCUAUAAAAUGGGAAGGACUUUCUGCUCCGCGUCACUCCGUUUCACACCCAAAAGAUUUGUAAAGAGGAAUGUAUGGACAGACUGAACCUCAGGGACCUGGUGUCCAUUUCAAUGAAUAUGCCCAGUGUGAAUUGGAAACUCUUCGACCUUUUCCAGAAAGAUCACACUGAGCAGUAUGGAGAGAGCCCUGGAAGUCUGACCAUCACUGCUCUUGUACAUGGAAGCCGUGAAAUCGAAGAAACUCUCGAACCAUGGAACAGCAUCUUAUGACACAUUUGCAGCAGCCAUGAAGGAUCCACUCAUCUUGGCCAAAUUGCAGUUCUACAUGGCACUUGCCAGGACCUUCACUCCCUUCCUGAAAAAAUAUCAGACAGAUGAGCCUGUGCUUCCAUUCCUUCCGAAGGACCUGACUGAGUUGAUGAUGAGUCUACUCAGACGCUUCAUAAAGAGAGAAGUCCUCCAUUAAAUCACUGCCCUGCAGCUGACCAAAUUGGAUGUCACAGACAAGACCAUCUGGCUCAGCCCACAAGACAUCAGCAUUGGUCUAGUUCAGGUGUGGCCAACCCGCGGCUUCCGAACCGCAUGCGGCUCUUUGGCUGGUUUCAUGCGGCUCUUACGUUCAUGUUACGUUUUGUUUUUAUGAUGU